rnacentral:lncRNA from 1 species
UAGGAUGUUCUGACGGAGGACACGGAUGCCACGAACAUGCUUCAUGUAAUGAAACUGAGGGUUCAUUCGUCUGUACCUGUAAUGCUGGGUAUUCAGGAGAUGGAAUUACUAGUUGUGAAGGUCAGUUUACAGUUACAGGUGCUGUAAAGUCCGUAAUUUAAACAAACACUUUGUUUACAUUUUGAACUCAGUGCUACAGUUCAGGGUUCGUAGC